GACGAACGCUGGCGGCGUGCUUAACACAUGCAAGUCGAACGGAAAGGCCCUGCUUUUGUGGGGUGCUCGAGUGGCGAACGGGUGAGUAACACGUGAGUAACCUGCCCUUGACUUUGGGAUAACUUCAGGAAACUGGGGCUAAUACCGGAUAGGAGCUCCUGCUGCAUGGUGGGGGUUGGAAAGUUUCGGCGGUUGGGGAUGGACUCGCGGCUUAUCAGCUUGUUGGUGGGGUAGUGGCUUACCAAGGCUUUGACGGGUAGCCGGCCUGAGAGGGUGACCGGCCACAUGGGGACUGAGGUACGGCCCAGACUCCUACGGGAGGCAGCGGUGGGGAGUAUUGCACAAUGGGCGGAAGCCUGAGGCAGCAGCGCCGCGUGCGGGAUGACGGCCUUCGGGUUGUAAACCGCUUUCGCCUGUGACGAAGCGCGAGUGACGGUAAUGGGUAAAGAAGCACCGGCUAACUACGUG
rnacentral:rRNA from 1 species